rnacentral:lncRNA from 1 species
UCACUAAUUGAUUUUUUUAAGGCAAUAUUAUUAUUCCUAACCUUAAGUAAUAUUUGAUUAGUUUAUUGUUAGUUUUAGCAUUAUUUGAUGGUUUUCUUAAGUUGGUUGUCAAUUCCAAAAGCAUAAGAGGUGGAGCUCAUCUUCAAGGUUUCAUCACUCCCCCUCUUUGUAAUUUUUCCUAUUGAGGAUAUUUCUCUAGUGGUAGAGAGAUUUAAUCACUUCCUCUACCUUUCAUAUCCUCUCUAUUCAAAGAAGUAGUAUAGAAGGAGCUUAACAAGAAACCUCAAGAGAAUUCUUCAUCAAU